GAUCCUGGCUCAGGAUGAACGCUGGCGGACGUGCCUAAUACAUGCAAGUAGAACGCUGAAGGAGGAGCUUGCUCUUUCCGGAUGAGUUGCGAACGGGUGAGUAACGCGUAGGUAACCUGCCUGGUAGCGGGGGAUAACUAUUGGAAACGAUAGCUAAUACCGCAUAACAGUAGAUAUUGCAUGAUAUCUGCUUGAAAGGUGCAAUUGCAUCACUACCAGAUGG
rnacentral:rRNA from 1 species